CGAGAUGUAGCGCAGUUGGUAGCGCACUACGUUCGGGACGUAGGGGUCGCGUGUUCGAGUCACGUCAUCUCGACCA
rnacentral:tRNA from 1 species